ACGGAGGGUGCAAGCGUUAAUCGGAAUCACUGGGCGUAAAGCGCGCGUAGGCGGCUUGGUAAGUCAGGCGUGAAAUCCCUCGGCCCAACCGGGGAACUGCGCUUGAUACUGCCAGGCUUGAGUGCCGGAGGGGGUGGCGGAAUUCCGGGUGUAGGAGUGAAAUCCGUAGAUAUCCGGAGGAACACCGGUGGCGAAGGCGGCCACCUGGACGGCAACUGACGCUGAGGCGCGAAAGCGUGGGGAGCAAACAG
rnacentral:rRNA from 1 species